GAUGAACGCUGGCGGCGUGCCUAAUACAUGCAAGUCGAGCGAACGGACGAGAAGCUUGCUUCUCUGAUGUUAGCGGCGGACGGGUGAGUAACACGUGGAUAACCUACCUAUAAGACUGGGAUAACUUCGGGAAACCGUAGCUAAUACCGGAUAAUAUUUUGAACCGCAUGGUUCAAAAGUGAAAGACGGUCUUGCUGUCACUUAUAGAUGGAUCCGCGCUGCAUUAGCUAGUUGGUAAGGUAACGGCUUACCAAGGCAACGAUGCAUAGCCGACCUGAGAGGGUGAUCGGCCACACUGGAACUGAGACACGGUCCAGACUCCUACGGGAGGCAGCAGUAGGGAAUCUUCCGCAAUGGGCGAAAGCCUGACGGAGCAACGCCGCGUGAGUGAUGAAGGUCUUCGGAUCGUAAAACUCUGUUAUUAGGGAAGAACAUACGUGUAAGUAGCUGUGCACAUCUUGACGGUACCUAAUCAGAAAGCCACGGCUAACUACGUG
rnacentral:rRNA from 1 species